rnacentral:rRNA from 1 species
AUGCUGGAGGUAUCAGAAGUGCGAAUGCUGACAUAAGUAACGAUAAAGCGGGUGAAAAGCCCGCUCGCCGGAAGACCAAGGGUUCCUGUCCAACGUUAAUCGGGGCAGGGUGAGUCGACCCCUAAGGCGAGGCCGAAAGGCGUAGUCGAUGGGAAACAGGUUAAUAUUCCUGUACUUGGUGUUACUGCGAAGGGGGGACGGAGAAGGCUAUGUUGGCCGGGCGACGGUUGUCCCGGUUUAAGCGUGUAGGCUGGUUUUCCAGGCAAAUCCGGAAAAUCAAGGCUGAGGCGUGAUGACGAGGCACUACGGUGCUGAAGCAACAAAUGCCCUGCUUCCAGGAAAAGCCUCUAAGCAUCAGGUAACAUCAAAUCGUACCCCAAACCGACACAGGUGGUCAGGUAGAGAAUACCAAGGCGCUUGAGAGAACUCGGGUGAAGGAACUAGGCAAAAUGGUGCCGUAACUUCGGGAGAAGGCACGCUGAUAUGUAGGUGAAGUCCCUCGCGGAUGGAGCUGAAAUCAGUCGAAGAUACCAGCUGGCUGCAACUGUUUAUUAAAAACACAGCACUGUGCAAACACGAAAGUGGACGUAUACGGUGUGACGCCUGCCCGGUGCCGGAAGGUUAAUUGAUGGGGUCAGCGCAAGCGAAGCUCUUGAUCGAAGCCCCGGUAAACGGCGGCCGUAACUAUAACGGUCCUAAGGUAGCGAAAUUCCUUGUCGGGUAAGUUCCGACCUGCACGAAUGGCGUAAUGAUGGCCAGGCUGUCUCCACCCGAGACUCAGUGAAAUUGAACUCGCUGUGAAGAUGCAGUGUACCCGCGGCAAGACGGAAAGACCCCGUGAACCUUUACUAUAGCUUGACACUGAACAUUGAGCCUUGAUGUGUAGGAUAGGUGGGAGGCUUUGAAGUGUGGACGCCAGUCUGCAUGGAGCCGACCUUGAAAUACCACCCUUUAAUGUUUGAUGUUCUAACGUUGACCCGUGAUCCGGGUUGCGGACAGUGUCUGGUGGGUAGUUUGACUGGGGCGGUCUCCUCCUAAAGAGUAACGGAGGAGCACGAAGGUUGGCUAAUCCUGGUCGGACAUCAGGAGGUUAGUGCAAUGGCAUAAGCCAGCUUGACUGCGAGCGUGACGGCGCGAGCAGGUGCGAAAGCAGGUCAUAGUGAUCCGGUGGUUCUGAAUGGAAGGGCCAUCGCUCAACGGAUAAAAGGUACUCCGGGGAUAACAGGCUGAUACCGCCCAAGAGUUCAUAUCGACGGCGGUGUUUGGCACCUCGAUGUCGGCUCAUCACAUCCUGGGGCUGAAGUAGGUCCCAAGGGUAUGGCUGUUCGCCAUUUAAAGUGGUACGCGAGCUGGGUUUAGAACGUCGUGAGACAGUUCGGUCCCUAUCUGCCGUGGGCGCUGGAGAA